GACCGCGUAGCUCAGUUGGAAGAGCAUUGGGCUAGUAUUCCAAAGGUUGUGGGUUCGAAUCCUACCGUGGCCG
rnacentral:tRNA from 1 species